CGGAAGGCAGCAGCGCGCACAGUGUUGACGAGUGCAUGAGC
rnacentral:SRP_RNA from 14 species